AUGGCGCGGCGGGCGGUGCAGGCGGCGCUGGCCGUUCAUCUCGAGUCCGACGCCUUCCUCGUCUGUCUCAACCACGCUCUGAGCACCGAGAAGGAGGAGGUGAUGGGGCUGUGCAUAGGCGAGCUGAAGGACGACCCAAGGUAUGACUCGGAAUUUGCACGUACUGGAACCGAAACGCGCCCAGUGGCUGAGAAGGUUGACCCUGUCAGAAUAGUUCACAUUCAUUCUGUCAUCAUCUUGCGCCGUUUUGAAAAGAGGAAGGACCGCGUGGAAAUUUCUCCCGAGCAGCUGUUUGCAGCCUCCACGGAGGCGGAGAGGCUGGCGAAACUAACAGGUCGCCCCUUGAGAGUCGUGGGCUGGUAUCAUUCCCACCCUCACAUAACUGUUUGGCCUUCACAUGUUGAUAUUCGCACACAAGCCAUGUACCAGAUGAUGGAUCGAGGCUUUGUAGGACUUAUUUUUUCCUGUUUUGUAGGAGAUAAAAAGGCAAAUAUUGGCCAGGUAUUCUACACUUGCUUCCAAUCUAUCCAGGCCCAAAAGAGCUCUGGGUAUGAGAGAAUUGAAAUCCCACUUCAUAUUAUACCUCAUGUCACCAUGGGGAAAGUGUGCCUUGAAUCAGCAGUAGAGCUGCCCAGGAUCCUGUGCCAGGAAGAGCAGGAGGCCUUCCGGAGGAUCCACAGCCUCACACACCUGGACUCGGUAACCAAGAUCCAUAAUGGCUUAGUAUUUACCAAGAAUCUGUGCAGUCAGAUGUCAGCAGUCAGCGGGCCCCUUCUACAGUGGUUGGAGGACAGACUGGAGCAGAACCAACAACAAUUGCAGGAGUUACAACAAGAAAAGGAAGAACUUAUACAACAGCUUUCUUCUCUGAAAUAA